rnacentral:rRNA from 1 species
GAUGAACGCUGGCGGUCUGCUUAACACAUGCAAGUCGAACGGAAUGCUUUCGGGCAUUUAGUGGCGGACGGGUGAGUAACGCGUGAGAAUCUGCCCUUUGGAGUGGGACAACGACUGGAAACGGUCGCUAACACCGCAUGAGCCGAGAGGUAAAAGUAUUUAUAGCCAAGGGAUGAGCUCGCGUCGGAUUAGCUAGUUGGUAGUGUAAUGGACUACCAAGGCGACGAUCCGUAGCUGGUCUGAGAGGAUGACCAGCCACACUGGGACUGAGACACGGCCCAGACUCCUACGGGAGGCAGCAGUGGGGAAUUUUCCGCAAUGGGGGCAACCCUGACGGAGCAAGACCGCGUGGGGGAGGAA